rnacentral:misc_RNA from 1 species
CCAAUUUUUAGCGAACCUAAAUCCUUCGGGUUUGUGGUCUCGCGAAAAAAAACUGUAUUUAAAACCCCACUCUUUAUAUGUAAAUUGAAUCUAUUAUAUAUAAUAAUAAAUAAAGA